rnacentral:rRNA from 1 species
UUAAGCGACUAAGGUACACGGUGGAUGCCCUGGCAGUCAGAGGCGAUAAGGACGUGCUAAUCUGCGAUAAGCGUCGGUAAGUGAUAUGAACCGUAUAACCGGCGAUUUCCGAUGGGAAACCCAGUGUGUUCGUCACACUAUCAUUAACUGAAUCCAUAGUUAAUGAGGCGAACCGGGGGAACUGAAACAUCUAAGGUACC